AUGUGGAAAUUCUAAUUAUUUUCACGCUGACAGCUGUUCUGAACUUGCUAACUGCAUGCCUCCCCUCCUCCCGCGGCAAGAGGCCGAAUGGCCUACACACGGCAGCUCCAGGUUCCUCCCCAUUACCACCUGUCAGCCUCGUCCAUGUAGCUAUCCAGUCUACUCUUAAAACAAGCUAUCGUCCCUGCACUCACUAUGUGAUUGCUGAGUCUAUUCCAUUCCCCCACCACCCUAUUACUGAACCAAUGCCUGCCCAUUUCCCUCCUAAAUCUAUACUUUUCUAAUUUAAGUCAAUUACUGCAUGUUCUAUCUUGCCAAACAUCUUAUGCAAAAGUUAAUCAGCAUAUCUCCACUCUUUCAUCCCUUACACUGAUAAACUGGAACAGCCUUUCAUUGUCCGCAUUACCUCCUGCCUAUAAUUUGACCUUCAAGAAGAGUGUAUCAAGACUCUACUUUUGUCUGUUUGGGAGUGAUCCGAACACGUCCGAUAUCAUCCAAGAGAAUGUGGCAGCUGAAGGGGGAGAGGCCAAGAAAGAGGCCAAGGGUGAAGACAUUUAGCCACCCCCCCUGAAGUACAUGGCAUCAUUCAACCCUCUUGGUGAGCUACAGGAAUGUGCUUCCCAUUGCAGUGCACCAGCUCCAUGUACUGAUUUUGGUGUGAACUUGAUGGGGUUGGAGGAAACUUGACUCGGCCAUCAAGCUCACCACAAUAUAACAUGAAAAGUGAAAAUUGCUGCAAACAACAGUCUGUCGUCUGCACCGGGAGGCAAGGCAGCUCAAAGCCCGGGCUGUUACAAAUCCUGGGCAGUUUUUGCCCAGAGCCAGCAAUUUUUUAGAUCCAAUAGGGAUGGAUUUUUUAUGAGGUCAGGUUCAACAUGCUGCAAGAUGCCAAGAUCUAAGCCUAGUAGGAGAUAUGGGUUACAAGAGAGGAGGUUUGCUCUGGCCUUAUACUAUCAAAGUCCAAAUGCUAAUAGAUUUCUGAGCACAGUAUUUCACUUGUCUUCAGUUUCAACACUUCAAUCAUGACUCAGGGGUAUUUCAGUACAUGUUGGCUGGAGCAAACAGACUCUGACAGCCCUGCAGCAAAGAGCACAGGCUUUGUCAAAAGAAGAGAAACUUCGUGGGAUUUGCCAUUAUUUAGUAUUACUCUUGUUACGCCAAGAAUUUUUUUCCAUAUACUUUGCCAAAUAUUGCAAGUAAUGCACCAUUGUUGGGCUUGCUUGUUAUAAAUCAUAUCUUGUUCAGUUAACAAGCUUUAGGUGUCUGGCACUUUCCAAUUGUAAUGCAAGGAAUCCCCUGCCAGAUAUCGCAUGUAAUGCACCAUUGUUGGUUUUGCCUAUUAUAAAUCAGAUCUUGUUCAGUUCACAAGCUUUGAAUAUCUGCCAUUGUUUAUUUCAGGUGUAAUGCUUGGAAGCAUUUGUUCUCUUCCCUACCCAACAGUACGCAAUACUUUAUUGUGGAUAUUGCCUGUUAUAUUUAAUCUUGUUCAGGUAGCAAGCUUUUGGUGUCUGCCUUACCUAAUAUGUCCUGCAGUGACACUUGGCUUGGUUUCAUAAUGUGAAAUACAGCAUGUAAUUUCAUCACACUAAGUGUCUAUCAUCACGUGUCUGGCAUCAAUGUGGCUUCCAGGACUAACCUUGUUUGUAUUACAGCUUGCAAAUUUUUUUCUGCUUUAUAUGAUAUACAUAAUCACAUAGGUAUGAUUUGCAAAAUGUAAUGGCAGUUGAUAUUCUUGACUAAUGCCUCAUAAACCUUGUGAAA